AUUGAACGCAGGCGGCAGGCCUAACACAUGCAAGUCGAGCGGAUGAAGGGAGCUUGCUCCUGGAUUCAGCGGCGGACGGGUGAGUAAUGCCUAGGAAUCUGCCUGGUAGUGGGGGAUAACGUCCGGAAACGGGCGCUAAUACCGCAUACGUCCUGAGGGAGAAAGUGGGGGAUCUUCGGACCUCACGCUAUCUGAUGAGCCUAGGUCGGAUUAGCUAGUUGGUGGGGUAAAGGCCUACCAAGGCGACGAUCCGUAACUGGUCUGAGAGGAUGAUCAGUCACACUGGAACUGAGACACGGUCCAGACUCCUACGGGAGGCAGCAGUGGGGAAUAUUGGACAAUGGGCGAAAGCCUGAUCCAGCCAUGCCGCGUGUGUGAAGAAGGUCUUCGGAUUGUAAAGCACUUUAAGUUGGGAGGAAGGGCAGUAAGUUAAUACCUUGCUGUUUUGACGUUACCAACAGAAUAAGCACCGGCUAACUUCGUG
rnacentral:rRNA from 1 species